rnacentral:rRNA from 1 species
ACGGAAGGCAGCAGUGAGGAAUAUUGGUCAAUGGGCGCAAGCCUGAACCAGCCAAGUAGCGUGAAGGAUGACUGCCCUAUGGGUUGUAAACUUCUUUUAUAUGGGAAUAAAGUGAGCCACGUGUGGUUUUUUGUAUGUACCAUAUGAAUAAGCAUCGGCUAAUUCCGUGCCAGCAGCCGCGGUAAUACGGAAGAUGCGAGCGUUAUCCGGAUUUAUUGGGUUUAAAGGGAGCGUAGGCGGGUCCUUGAGUCAGUGGUCAAAGCGUGUGGCUGAACCAUACCACGCCGUCGGUACUGGGGACCUUGGGUGCACAUAAGGAUGGUGGAAUUCGUCGUGUAGCGGUGAAAUGCUUAGAUAUGACGAAGAACUCCGAUUGGGAAGGCAGCUGGCCGGGGUGUAACUGACGCUAAUGCUCGAAAGUGCGGGUAUCAAACAGGAUUAGAUACCCUGGUA